rnacentral:lncRNA from 1 species
AUGGAAGACCCACUAUGUGUUGAUAUCAUGUGUGGAAUCAGGGAUAUAAAGAUAAACACAGCAAGAUUGCUUCCUCAAAACUCAAAAAUUGAAGAAAUGGCUGUUGCAGCUAGGAGAACUUCAAGGUCAUCUGCAAUAUGGCCACAACUCUCAUAGACUCCACAGGCCUUGUGAUGGAUGACCAGUCCUCAGCUGAUGAAGAGGGGGAGGUAGGCUGAGUUGGAGCAGGUCUAGGUCAGGGGACUAAUUGCUGUUGUCACUAACAAAGGGAUACAGACGCCACCACUGCAGUGGCUAAAGGGGAUUUUUUUUUCAUUUUUAAAAUUGUUAUUAAAGUGUAGUUGAUUUACAAUGUUUCAUCCAGUUCUGAUGUUCAAUAAAGUGCCCCAAUCAUACA